rnacentral:lncRNA from 1 species
CUUACCAUCGCUAAGAACGAAUGCGGCCUAGCUAGCUAGCUACUAAUGCUGAGCUAGAGCACACUAUUGCUUAAUACUACUAUACACACACACUAAAAAAGAGAACUAUGGUCGUCCACUUUACUGCUUAGCAUAUAUGCAUGCAUGCAUCCCAAAUUAUAUACUAGUAAAAAAGAAUUAAGGUGACUUGGCCAUCACCAGCAAAUAAUUAAACCUUCAAGUCAAUUACAUAAGCCGGCCGGCCGUAAAGCUAGCUAACCUAGAUAGCAACCAACAAUUAACAACAAAUUAUAUUUAGAAAGCGCUCGAUCGAUCAUAUCGAUCGCUUUCAUGAUUGAUAGUUAUAGUACUACCUCCGUCUUCAACAAAUUUCAUUUUAACUCUUCAUGUUUAUCCCACCAAAAGAAUAUUUUUAAACACAGAAAGACUUAAAAAAUGGUAUUCCGUUCAGACAGGAUUGUUAGAUGAUUUUGCCUCACACACCGAC